CGAAAGACUAAUCGAACCAUCUAGUAGCUGGUUCCCUCCGAAGUUUCCCCCAGGAUAGCUGGAGCUUGUAUCAGUUUUGUCAGGUAAAGCGAAUGAUUAGAGGUUCGGGGGAUGAAACAUCUUCCACCUAUUCUCAAACUUUAAAUAGGCAAGACGCCCGGGUUGCUUAAUUGAACCCGUGGCAUUCAAUGAGAGCUCCAAGUGGGCCAUUUUUGGUAAGCAGAACUGGCGAUGCGGGAUGAACCGAUAGUCGAGUUAAGGUGCCCAACUGCACGCUAACCUAGAUCCCACAAAGGGUGUUGAUUGAUAUAGACAGCAGGACGGUGGUCAUGGAAGUCGAAAUCCGCUAAGGAGUGUGUAACAACUCACCUGCCGAAUCAAUUAGCCCCGAAAAUGG
rnacentral:rRNA from 14 species